GUCUUGGUCGAUUAGUGGUUAAAUCAUCUCGUUGUGGUUACACAGUCCGAGAAGCCGAGGGCUCGACUCCCUCCCGAGACA